AUUGAACGCUGGCGGCAGGCCUAACACAUGCAAGUCGAACGAGUGGCGGACGGGUGAGUAAUGUCUGGGAAACUGCCCGAUGGAGGGGGAUAACUAUUGGAAACGGUAGCUAAUACCGCAUACCAUCGAAUGUGCCCAGAUGGGAUGAGAUAGGAGGGGGGGUAAUGGCUCACCUAGGCGACGAUCCCUAGCUGGUCUGAGACGAUGACCAGGCACGCUGUAACUGAGACACGGUCCAGACUCCCACGAGAUGCAGAAGUGGGGAGUAUUGCACAAUGGGCGCAAGCCUGAAGCAGGCAUGCCGCGUGUAUGAAGGAGGCCUUCGGGUUGUAAAGUACGUUCAGCGGGGAGGCGUUACUCGCAGAAGAAGCACCGGCUAACUCCGUGCCAGCAGCCGCGGUAAUU
rnacentral:rRNA from 1 species